rnacentral:lncRNA from 1 species
AUUUGUACAGGUGGUGUUCAUCCUGGACUCCUGGUUCUCAAUCUGCUUAUAUUUUGUUAUGGGUAACUUUCACUUGACAAUGUCCAAGGAUGCCGUCCAGGUAAAUUAGCUCCAUUGGGCUAUCAUCUCUUCAUGUUUUCAGAUGAGUGAAGUGCACUGUAGGUCCUUAAACUAUUUCAGGGGUGUCACAUAGGUCCUCGAACUAUGAAAAUCGUCAUUUAGGUUCUCGAAAUACAGUAAGUGUGUCAUCCAGGUCCAAAAUCUCACUAACCCCCUCUAAAUGGCCAGCUGGCAUGGUGAACAGUGCGAAAAAUAAAAAAAUAUGAACAAAAAAAAUCUGAAAAUCUUUGGCAUCAAAGAUACCCCUGGUGCGUGAAUAGUAAAAAUGUUCAUUAAUUCAAAAAAAUGUUCGCGAAUAUGGGAAAAAUAUUCGUGACUUUAAAAAAGUUCACAAACAAUAAAUUUGAAAAUAUGUUCGCGAACCACAAAUAUUGUUCGUGGGUAUGGAAAAAAUGUUCGCGAACCACAAAAAUUCCUGACUUUUUAUUAAAAAAUGUCAGUGAACUUUUUAUUAAAGUCGCAAAUAUUUUUUCCGAAUUCAUCGUUCGCGAACAUUUUAUUAAAGUCACGAAUAUUUUUCCAAAUUCAUCGUACGCGAACAUUUUUUUAAAGUCAUGAAUAUUUUUUUCCAAAUUCAUCGUUCGCAAACUUUUUUUAAACUCGCGAAUAUUUUUCCCAAAGUCAUCGUUCGCUAACAUUUUUUUAAAGUCGUGAAUAUUUUUUCCAAAUUCAUCGUACGCGAACUUUUUUUAAACUCACGAAUAUUUUUUUAAAGUCGCGAAUAUUUUUUUCCAAAUUCAUCGUUCACGAACAUUUUAUUAAAGUCACAAAUAUUUUUCCAAAUUCAUUGUUCGCGAACUUUUUUUGAAUUAAUGACAUUUUUACUGUUCACGUGCCAGGGUCUCUUUGAUGACAGAGGAUCUCAGUUUUUUGAUUUUUUUUAUAUUUAUUCUUUGUCGUGUACUGUUCAUCACGCACAGGAAUUCAGGACUGUUUGCCGCGUACUGUUACGGUUACUGUUUAUGUGCCAGCUGGCCAGUUAGAGUCUGUCAGGGAGAUUUUGGACCUGAAUGACACACUUACUGCACUUUGAGGAUCUAGAUGACGAUUUUCAUAGUUCGAGGACCUACGUGACAUCCCUGGAAUAGUUCAAGGACCUACAGUGCACUUCACUCUUUUCAGAUUAUACAUUUGACCUUCAAAAGAAUGGACUCCUGGUUAAAUCUUGGGAGUAUGGUUAUAUUUUGGUUUGGAAAAAAAAUUCACUUGAUAAUCUGCAAUGGCUGCCGGUGAGGUAAAUUAGUUCCGUGGGCUUCCAUACCUCAUCUCUUCAUACUUUCAGAUUAUGCUUUUGAUCUUCAAAAUGAUACAUAUUUAAAUCAUUAAGCUGAGUUCACUAGCAUGCUAGAUUUUGAAUAGCAAUGCUUUACACGUAAACUACAACUAGAUGGUUCCUGAAGGGAGUUCAUCCGAUCAUUAGGGCAGCUCUAGAAUCUCAACCUUUCUGAUCUUACACUAAUUUGACAACUACUAAUUUGAUAAGCUUGGGAGGUGUUUCAGGCCUGUGUAGUUUUACCUCCCUCCGUCCCCAAAAAAGUGACUUUAUACUAAUUUUAGUACAAAGUUGAGUCACUUAUUUUGGGACGGAGGGGGUAGUAUUUUCUUAGUCUUCCAAUACAUGAAAAAUAUUAUUUACUUAACCUAAAAUCAUGGAGAUAUGGCCUACUUGUAUCAGUUAAUUUUGUGCUUCUGAUUGCUGUCGAGUAAUACAACAUUUGUCAGGUUUAUUUUCCUGUGACUAUUUUGCCUGUUAUUCUAAUAACGUUGUUGUUACUAAACAUCCAUCUUUAGAUUUGGACGCUCUUCAAUACUACGUUGGGUACCCCUUUCCUGCCCUCGGAGUUUUAGACUGUUCAACUAAGGUAUUUGCCACUUAAAUCAUGCUGCAUCAUAGACACAGGAACUUUAAAAGUACAAAUUGCUAACUGUUACUUAUUUCUUAUGACAUACCGUAGAUGGCCCUCCUGUCUGGAUUAUCAAGACUUCACCACGCCUCCACGGUAGCCACUCCAUUAUACAUAAUAUAUAUCUCUUAAAUAUAGAUUAGCUAAUGUCAGUUUCACUUUUCCUUUUUUAACAAAUAUAAAGAUUAGUUCAUGCAAUUUCAAACUUCCAUGUUUCGUGCAUGUAUAUAUUUAUGAAAAAUAUUCCUA